GAUGAUCUUAUCGAGGACGUACGUACGCUGCAGUUCACGGCGCGAUACGCAGCGUUGAAGAUAUCACGACCAGAGCCAACUCAGGCGUUACGAAAACAACGGUCGUCGAGGCGAAGGAGUCAUCCUCAAAGUUAAGAAAUUUUAAUAAGCGGUAAUUCUACUGGUAGCCCUCUGCGUGGGUGUUAACUCGAGCCGAAGCGAAAACGAGGAUGUUGCCGCCGAAGCUGGAG
rnacentral:misc_RNA from 1 species